GAGAGUGAGUGUGUGUUUCUGAGCUGGGAACCACCUCCCUCAGCUCCGAGCACAGCCAUGCCCAGAGUGCGUGCGGCAGGAGAGAACAAAAACUAAACCAAAUCAUCAUGGAACAGUAACAGCAUAUAGGAUCUGACUUGGCAGUCUGUACUUGCCUUGUUCCUCAUGCAGUUCGUGCCACUGAAUUGAAUGGAACUACUCAAAUGACUAGAUUCUACUCAAGCCCCCGCUCAGCAUAGGGAACCCGUUGCGCUUGGCACUGUGCAAACACACAGGUAAACCUGGGCCCGCUUACAGUCUAAUUUGC